rnacentral:rRNA from 1 species
UACGUAGGGGGCAAGCGUUGUCCGGAAUUAUUGGGCGUAAAGAGCGUGUAGGCGGUCCGAUCAGUUUGCUGUAAAAGUCGGGGGCUCAACCCCCGAAAGCCGGUGAAUACUGUCGGACUAGAGUACGGAAGAGGCGAGUGGAAUUCCUGGUGUAGCGGUGAAAUGCGCAGAUAUCAGGAGGAACACCAAUUGCGAAGGCAGCUCGCUGGGACGUCACUGACGCUGAGACGCGAAAGCGUGGGGAGCGAACAGG